GCGCUUCCGAGACGGCGCCUGCAUCACACGGACAUGCCAUCGGCCAAGCCCCGAAUCAAAACCGGGCCCGGGAAGCUGUGGUUGUUGCAGGCUCAUCACUACGGAUCCAUUCAGUGAGGCCCAAGCUCCUUCCCGUGGUUUUCAUUCUUCCUGAACGCAUCUGCCAUCCCCCCGCCAGGCCACACUGAGUGCCACGGGCAGGGCGCUCCGGCCAAACUCACCGGGCUGUUCCCAGUGGCUGCCACGCUGACUGGUCCCCAAGCCUGGACCACAUUCACCACAGAAUAAAAACGUAAGGCCUGCCACGUGCUGGCGGGCUGCGGGGCCGGAGGGAGGGAGGCCAGGACCCUGUAGAAACAGGGCUCCGGUUUUACAAGAGGAAAGUUCCGGACGUGGUGGGGGUGACGGAGCCGGGCAGUGUGAACGCACCUCAUGCCACUGAGCUGGGCACUGGGACAUGUCAGGAUGGUUGGUUUGUGUGUUUUUACCACAAUUAAAAACAAAUGUGUAUGGAUAUUUAGGGAGAAAGCAGAAGGGAGACAGAGACACGUGGGUCUGUUGUUCCACUUGUGGAUGCUUUCCUGGUUGCUUCUUGUAUGCGCCCUGACCGGGGCUGGAACCCACGGCUCCCGCAGGUUCCUGCCACGCGUCUUCCUCUUGUCUUGCCUCCUGACCUGCCCGCCCCGGACGCGGGGCACAGCUCACUGUCAGAGCAGCACAUGGAGGGUCGCGGGGCUGAGGCCCAGGAGCCGGAGGAACUGUUCUCGUCCCUCUCCACCCCUCUCCACACUCCCCCGACAUCUGUUCCUUGUCUGGCGCCGGGGGCUCGGUUACAGACGGAGACGUUUCUCAGAGGAAAGGCAUGUGGCUGAGACACACCUGCCGCCCGGUGUCUGUCAGCGUCACUGCCUCCGGGCCCGAGAGCCUCGCCAGAGAGGGAGCAGCUGUUCUCACGGGCAGCGAGCUGCCUGGAGCACAGACACCUCCUCCUGACCCAGCUGAGAUGACAGGGCGGCAGCGAUCCGUGGGCGCCCCGGCCUUCUGGGCGUUCCGUGGCCCCAGGGCAGAGCUUGGAAUUGGAAACCAGAAGACUCCCGUGAAAUCCAGGCCUAACCUCUCUGUUCGUGAAUUGCCUAAUUUUAGGCAAGUGCUCCCUCUCUGAGCUUCUACCGUUUUUAUCUAUAAAACAAGUAAAACAGUGACACAGUGGUGUGUGGCGGUCGGACCUGCUGACAGUCAUUGGCCUGGAGACGAGAGCGUCGCCCGCUCCCUCCUCCACGACUGGAUGUAGCCGGGCAAACUAGGGAGAGCCUGCACCCACAUGGUGUCACAGUGGCCUUCGGACGGUCCCUCUGCUUCCUCGACAGCAGAGCUGGACAUCCCAGUAGGUGCUGUGCUGUGUGAGUUGUUCAGGCAAGAGAGACGGUGUGAACUCUGAGCAUCGGGCCGGUUUAAAGCCCCCGCAGCCACCGCCCUGGCCUCCACCGAAAGCCUGGGACUGAGUCCGAUGGAUACCCAGGCCUGAUGCGCCCCGAGAGCCUGCGCUGGGUCCUUUUAAGCCGAUUGGUUCGGGCUCGGAGGGUGACUCAGAUUUCUCGCCAGGUUGGCCAGGGGCUGGGCCCAUCACUGGGGCAGGAAACCCCGCAGGAGGAAUGUUGAAGGUGAGGGGGAACGGGCUGACUCAGAGACUCUCUCGGGGAGGGUCUCGCAGAGCAGGUCUUCCUCUGUACUGGGCUCCGGAGCCCUCCAGAACCUUCCAAUCAGAACCAGUGAGGAGACUCGAAUUCUGCGGGCCUGGGGGUGGGAGGCUGGGACCGGCAUUUCGAAGGAGGUCGCUCAUGGGGUCGGAGGACCACACUGAGAGCAGCCAGGGUCGAGUGCGAGGAACCUCCAAUGGUUUCCUUCCGAACCAGCUCAAGGAUUUUGAAAAUCGGCCUUCUCGCACAUUCUGUACCUCCAGGUGUGCAAACCAGUGAUUCGGUCAUCGCCAUCUAUUUAACAAGACACUCCAGCGAGUCUGUCCGGCGGUCAAACACUACACCCCGUUCCUUCUUCUCACUGAACCCGAAUUCCCCGUCAGCUUCCCCAUAGAGCCGUGUCCCGAAGUGCUGCAUGUUCCUGUUGAAGGCUUCCGUGGUCUCUCUUCCUACUUAGCUACCCCCCAAUAGGCACAUCAAACCUUUUUUUAAUGUAAAAUUUCUCACGACCGUAAAGUCUGAAUGUUAAAA